GACGGAGGAUGCAAGCGUUAUCCGGAAUCAUUGGACGUAAAGCGUACGUAGGCGGCUUAUCAAGUCUGGGGUCAAAGACCACAGCUUAACUGUGGAAAGGCCUUGGAAACUAGUGAGCUGGAGUGAGGUAGGGGUUGCGGGAAUUCCCGGUGUAGCGGUGAAAUGCGUAGAUAUCGGGAAGAACACCUGAGGCGAAAGCGCGCGACUGGGCCUUAACUGACGCUGAGGUACGAAAGCUAGGGGAGCGAAGGGG
rnacentral:rRNA from 1 species